rnacentral:rRNA from 1 species
UACGUAGGGCGCAAGCGUUGUCCGGAAUUAUUGGGCGUAAAGAGCUCGUAGGCGGCCUGUCGCGUCUGCUGUGAAAUCCCGGGGCUCAACCCCGGGCGUGCAGUGGAUACGGGCUGGCUGGAGGGAGGCAGGGGAGAACGGAAUUCCCGGUGUAGCGGUGAAAUGCGCAGAUAUCGGGAGGAACACCGGUGGCGAAGGCGGUUCUCUGGGCCUGUACUGACGCUGAGGAGCGAAAGCGUGGGGAGCGAACAGG